GACGAACGCUGGCGGCGUGCUUAACACAUGCCAGUCGAACGGAAAGGCCCUGCUUUUGUGGGGUGCUCGAGUGGCGAACGGGUGAGUAACACGUGAGUAACCUGCCCUUGACUUUGGGAUAACUUCAGGAAACUGGGGCUAAUACCGGAUAGGAGCUCCUGCUGCAUGGUGGGGGUUGGAAAGUUUCGGCGGUUGGGGAUGGACUCGCGGCUUAUCAGCUUGUUGGUGGGGUAGUGGCUUACCAAGGCUUUGACGGGUAGCCGGCCUGAGAGGGUAACCGGCCACAUUGGGACUGAGAUACGGCCCAGACUCCUACGGGAGGCAGCAGUGGGGAAUAUUGCACAAUGGGCGGAAGCCUGAUGCAGCAACGCCGCGUGCGGGAUGACGGCCUUCGGGUUGUAAACCGCUUUCGCCUGUGACGAAGCGUGAGUGACGGUAAUGGGUAAAGAAGCACCGGCUAACUACGUG
rnacentral:rRNA from 1 species